GGGCAUCAAGCCAACUGGUACUGAAUUACAUAAUUGUCGUGGUUGGGGGGGAAGUGAAUUUUUCCAGGGGGAUGUGGGCAGUCCAAUCAGUAAUCAGCUUUUCUGCUGGCACCUGGAUUGGUCACUCGGAGGUUUGGACACGCCUCUGAGGACACAAAGAGUUAAAAGCAGGACCCCCAAGGGGGUUCGGCCUCUUUUCAGAUCUUGGUUUCAGCAGAGGGACGUGUGAGGCCUCCUUCCCCUGCCCGGCCACGAGGCUGGGUGGGGGAGGGGAAACACGUGGUCGGCUCAGAAAGAAACUUUUCUUAGACAUUGAUUCUCAUGACUGGUGGUUUUCGGAGAGAGGGCAGCGGCCUGGGACCGAGAUGAUAAAGCAUGAUUGGAAGGAACUCGAUGGAAGAAUGAGAGGAGUAGCCUUGGAGCUGGACUUUUCUUGCAUAAUGUCAGCCAUGGACUGAACUUGAGUCUCUUUUGAACAUAAACUGCAUUUUUGGGUGGAUGCAGCUGCCCUUGCUUUUGCUACAGUGACUGGCACUUGAAGAGUUGGAGUGAGCAGAGAAGAGAGGGGGAGGGUGAGGUGGUGCCCUCUGCCCUCAGGGCAGACCUGCUCCUGGAACCCCGGCCCCUGGGUGAAAAGGGGAGAGCUCGGCAUGCAGCAUCCUUAAAAAGCCCUGUAUGUAGUUUUGGCCUAUGAGACAGCGGUGAGAGCGCUGGACAUAGGAAAAAGAGAGUGUCACCUUAGCAGACUUCUCCGGGCGGUGCUAUGGGUGACAUGGAAACACAUAAGGGGUGGACCCGUGUUUUCUGAGGAACAGUCUGUGGUGCGAGAGAGACUCCUCUCUCCCUUGCUGAAUUGAAGAUUAGUUUGUUUUUGAGUGGUGAUUGUUUAAUCUAAAACCCAAGAGUUGGUCUUUGAAGAGUGAUGGGCGGGGAGGUAGAAACUGGGAGAAGAAAUGUUCUAAGAAGUUUUUAUUUCUGUCUCUGUGUGUGUUUAAGAGUAUUUCUGUCCCUGUUCUUAUGUAAUUAAUAAAGUUUUGGUGGGUUUUUUUGUUUUCAA